rnacentral:rRNA from 1 species
UCCUACGGGAGGCAGCAGUGAGGAAUAUUGGUCAAUGGCCGAGAGGCUGAACCAGCCAAGUCGCGUGAGGGAUGACGGCCCUACGGGUUGUAAACCUCUUUUGUCGGGGAGCAAGACCCGCCACGAGUGGCGGAGCGAGAGUACCCGAAGAAAAAGCAUCGGCUAACUCCGUGCCAGCAGCCGCGGUAAUACGGAGGAUGCGAGCGUUAUCCGGAUUUAUUGGGUUUAAAGGGUGCGCAGGCGGCGAGUUAAGUCAGCGGUAAAAUCGCGGGGCUCAACCUCGCUCCGCCGUUGAAACUGGCGUU